rnacentral:rRNA from 1 species
GACGAACGCUGGCGGCGUGCUUAACACAUGCAAGUCGAACGGAAAGGCCCUGCGUUUGUGGGGUGCUCGAGAGGCGAACGGGGGAGUAAAACAUGAGUAACAUGCCCUUAUCUUUGGGAGAACUUCAGGAAACUGGGGCUAAUACCGGAUAGGAGCUCCUGCUGCGUGGUGGGGGAUGGAAAGUUUCGGCGGCUGUGGCUGGAAUGGAGGGUUAUCAGCUGGUUGGGCGGGUAGUGGAGUACCAAGGUUAUGAAGGGUAGGCGGCCUUAGAGGCUGACCGGGCACAUUGGGACUGAGAUACGGACCAGACGGCUACGGGAGGCAGCAGUCGGGAAUAUUGCACAAUGGGCCGAAGCCUGAUGCAGAAACGCCGCGUGCGUGAUGACGGCCUUCGGGUUGUAAACCGCUUUCGCAGGUGACGAAGCGUGAGUGACGGUAAUGGGUAAAGAAGCACCGGCUAACUACGUG